rnacentral:rRNA from 1 species
AAAUUGAAGAGUUUGAUCAUGGCUCAGAUUGAACGUUGGCGGCAGGCCUUACACAUGCAAGUCGAACGGUAACAGCGGAGCUUGCUCCGGCUGACGAGUGGCGGACGGGUGAGUAACGCGUGGGAAUCUACCCAGUAGCGGGGGAUAGCCCGGGGAAACCCGGAUUAAUACCGCAUACGCCCUAAGGGGGAAAGCGGGGGACCUUUCGAGGCCUCGCACUAUUGGAGGAGCCCGCGUUGGAUUAGCUAGUUGGUGGGGUAAAAGCCUACCAAGGCGACGAUCCAUAGCUGGUCUGAGAGGACGAUCAGCCACACUGGGACUGAGACACGGCCCAGACUCCUACGGGAGGCAGCAGUGAGGAAUAUUGUGCAAUGGGCGAAAGCCUGACACAGCCAUGCCGCGUGUGUGAAGAAGGCCCUAGGGUUGUAAAGCACUUUCAGUAGCAAGGAACUAACCGGGUUAAUAUCCCGGCGAAAUGACGUUAGCUACAGAAGAAGUACCGGCUAACUCCGUGCCAGCAGCCGCGGUAAUACGGAGGGUACGAACGUUAAUCGGAAUUACUGGGCGUAAAGCGCGCG